rnacentral:rRNA from 1 species
UACGAAGGGGGCUAGCGUUGUUCGGAAUUACUGGGCGUAAAGCGCACGUAGGCGGAUUGUUAAGUCAGAGGUGAAAUCCCGGAGCUCAACUUCGGAACUGCCUUUGAUACUGGCAAUCUCGAGUCCGGAAGAGGUUAGUGGAAUUCCCAGUGUAGAGGUGAAAUUCGUAGAUAUUGGGAAGAACACCAGUGGCGAAGGCGGCUAACUGGUCCGGUACUGACGCUGAGGUGCGAAAGCCAGGGGGAGCAAACGGGG